rnacentral:rRNA from 1 species
GAUGAACGCUGGCGGCGUGCUUAACACGUGCAAGUCGAGCGAGAAGUUUUGAAAAGAUUCUUCGGAUGAAAUUUAAAAUGGAAAGCGGCGGACGGGUGAGUAACGCGUAGGCAACCUGCCCCAUACAAAGGGAUAGCAUUUGGAAACGAAUAUUAAUACCUUAUGAAACUUAACUAGUGCAUGCUAGGUAGGUCAAAGAUUUAUCGGUAUGGGAUGGGCCUGCGUCUGAUUAGCUAGUUGGUGAGGUAACGGCUCACCAAGGCGACGAUCAGUAGCCGACCUGAGAGGGUGAACGGCCACAUUGGAACUGAGACACGGUCCAAACUCCUACGGGAGGCAGCAGUGGGGAAUAUUGCACAAUGGGGGAAACCCUGAUGCAGCAACGCCGCGUGAACGAUGAAGGCCUUUGGGUCGUAAAGUUCUGUUCUAGGUGAUGAAAACUGACAGUAACCUAGGAGAAAGCCCCGGCUAACUCCGUGCCAGCAGCCGCGGUAAUACGGAGGGGGCAAGCGUUAUCCGGAAUUAUUGGGCGUAAAGGGUACGUAGGUGGCCUUUUAAGCGUAGGGUAUAAGGCAAUGGCUCAACCAUUGUUCGCCCUAUGAACUGGAAGGCUUGAGUGCAGGAGAGGAAAGCGGAAUUCCUAGUGUAGCGGUGGAAUGCAUAGAUAUUAGGAGGAACAUCAGCGGCGAAGGCGGCUUUCUGGACUGCAACUGACACUGAGGUACGAAAGCGUGGGGAGCAAACAGG